UACGAAGGUCCCAAGCGUUGUUCGGAAUCACUGGGCGUAAAGCGUGUGUAGGCGGCGUGGAAAGUCAGAUGUGAAAGCCCGGGGCUCAACCUCGGAACUGCAUCCGAUACUCCCACGCUAGAAUACCGGAGGGGCAUCUGGAAUUCACGGUGUAGCAGUGAAAUGCGUAGAUAUCGUGAGGAACACUAGUGGCGAAGGCGAGAUGCUGGACGGUUAUUGACGCUCAGACACGAAGGCCAGGGUAGCGAAAGGG
rnacentral:rRNA from 1 species